rnacentral:rRNA from 1 species
GACGAACGCUGGCGGCGUGCCUAAUACAUGCAAGUUGAGCGCUGAAGGUUGGUACUUGUACCAACUGGAUGAGCAGCGAACGGGUGAGUAACGCGUGGGGAAUCUGCCUUUGAGCGGGGGACAACAUUUGGAAACGAAUGCUAAUACCGCAUAUAAACUUUAAACACAAGUUUUAAGUUUGAAAGAUGCAAUUGCAUCACUCAAAGAUGAUCCCGCGUUGUAUUAGCUAGUUGGUGAGGUAAAGGCUCACCAAGGCGAUGAUACAUAGCCGACCUGAGAGGGUGAUCGGCCACAUUGGGACUGAGACACGGCCCAAACUCCUACGGGAGGCAGCAGUAGGGAAUCUUCGGCAAUGGACGAAAGUCUGACCGAGCAACGCCGCGUGAGUGAAGAAGGUUUUCGGAUCGUAAAACUCUGUUGGUAGAGAAGAACGUUGGUGAGAGUGGGAAGCUCAUCAAGUGACGGUAACUACCCAGAAAGGGACGGCUAACUACGUG